GCCUGGUAUUGUGCUAUUUGAAAUGGACAAGUAAUCCAUCCUUUUAAAUCAUGUUUCUCAGCAUCAUAUUUCUGCCAUGAUGGAAUCCGGUAAUGGCCCGGUGGGGUCAAGAAGAAGACAUAACGUAAUGGGAUCUCUGCUGUAACGUGACACUUCCUACGGCUCCCAUAGGCUCUCAGAAGGCGGGAAAAAGCUGAAUGAUGUCUUUGCAGGCCCUGGCUGAAAAACAUUAGCGCUUUGAACCACCCACCACCAAAGGACCAAGCAGCAGAAGAGGAGGAAGCCACAGGAGAAAAAAAGGGAGGAAUGGACAUGGGAGGACGUCCUGGACGGCAAGGGAGCCUACACCUGGGAAGAGAUCCUGGCCGGAAGGGAUCGCCUCCCAUGGGAACAGGUGGAGGCACUCAGGAGAGUGGAGGCAGCUGGACAGAGGAACCAACGGGAACGUUAUGCUGGAACACGGUUGGGUAGGAAACCCGAGAGGCACCCCCAAUAAUUUUUUUGGGGGGGGCACACGGGUAGCUUGGCCAGGCCAGGGAAGAGCCGUAAGCCAGCUACCCGUGACUACAGGGAGGUGCGUAUGCUGGUGGAGGGCGCCAUGUUACGCUGAGGUACGCACCAUCUCGCCUAUACGGACGCACAGCCCAGUCCGCCCGGUACCAGCGCCCCGCAGGUGCCAGGGCAAGGUGAGCAUCGAGCCGGAAGGGGUGAAGCCAACCCUGCACUCAAGACCGCCAGUGCGCCCUUUCGGUCCGGUGUUUCCCGCUAAACGCACUAGCAUGGAGGUGCGUGUCUCCAGGCUUGCACGUCCAGUACCAGCCCCACGCAUCAGGAGUCUAGUGCGUCAGCCCAGCCUCGCCAGUCGUAAGUCGCCAGAGCUGCCCGCCAGUCAACAGUCACCAGAGCUGCCCGCCAGUCAACAGUCACCAGAUGUGCCCGCCAGUCAACAGUCACCAGAGCUGCCCGCCAGUCAACAGUCACCAGAGCUGCCCGCCAGUCGUAAGUCACCAGAGCUGCCCGCCAGUCAAGAGUCGCCAGAGCUGCCCGCCAGUCGUAAGUCACCAGAGCCGCCCGCUAGUCACGAGCCGCCAGAGCCGCCCGCUAGUCAGGAGCUGCCAGAGUGGCCCGACUGCCCGGAGCUGCCAGAGUGGCCCGACUGCCCGGAGCUGCCAGAGUGGCCCGACUGCCCGGAGCUGCCAGAGUGGCCCGACUGCCCGGAGCUGCCAGAGUGGCCCGACUGCCCGGAGCUGCCAGAGUGGCCCGACUGCCCGGAGCUGCCAGAGUGGCCCGACUGCCCGGAGCUGCCCAACUGCCCGGAGCUGCCCGACUGCCAGGAGCUGCCAGACUGCCCGGAGCUGCC
rnacentral:lncRNA from 1 species